GAGCUCCUAGGGACGCAGCAGUGAGGAAUAUUGGUCAAUGGGCGGAAGCCUGAACCAGCCAAGUCGCGUGAGGGAAGAAGGCCCUGCGGGUCGCAGACCUCUUUGGACGGGGAGCAAGGCCGCCGACGUGUCGGCGGAAGGAGAGUACCCGUAGAACAAGCAUCGGCUAACUCCGUGCCAGCAGCCGCGGUAAUACGGAGGAUGCGAGCGUUAUCCGGAUUUAUUGGGUUUAAAGGGUGCGCAGGCGGCACGGCAAGCCGGCGGUCAAAUCGCGGGGCUCAACCCCGCCCAGCCGUCGGAACUGC
rnacentral:rRNA from 1 species